AGAGUUUGAUCCUGGCUCAGGAUGAACGCUAGCGGCAGGCUUAACACAUGCAAGUCGAGGGGUAUAGUAGCAAUACUAGAGACCGGCGCACGGGUGCGUAACGCGUAUGCAAUCUACCUUUUGCAGGGGAAUAGCCCAGAGAAAUUUGGAUUAAUGCCCCAUAGUAUAUAGACUCGGCAUCGAGAUUAUAUUAAAGUUACAACGGCAAAAGAUGAGCAUGCGUCCCAUUAGCUAGUUGGUAAGGUAACGGCUUACCAAGGCUACGAUGGGUAGGGGUCCUGAGAGGGAGAUCCCCCACACUGGUACUGAGACACGGACCAGACUCCUACGGGAGGCAGCAGUGAGGAAUAUUGGACAAUGGGCGCAAGCCUGAUCCAGCCAUGCCGCGUGCAGGAUGAAGCAUCUAUGGUGUGUAAACUGCUUUUGUACGAGAAGAAACACUGCUUCGUGAAGCAGCUUGACGGUAUCGUAAGAAUAAGA
rnacentral:rRNA from 1 species